rnacentral:rRNA from 1 species
AUUGAACGCUGGCGGCAUGCCUUACACAUGCAAGUCGAACGGUAACGGGCCUUCGGGUGCCGACGAGUGGCGAACGGGUGCGUAAUACAUCGGAACGUGCCCGAUCGUGGGGGAUAACGAGGCGAAAGCUUUGCUAAUACCGCAUACGAUCUACGGAUGAAAGCCGGGGACCGCAAGGCCUUGCGCGGACGGAGCGGCCGAUGGCAGAUUAGGUAGUUGGUGGGAUAAAAGCUUACCAAGCCGACGAUCUGUAGCUGGUCUGAGAGGAUGAUCAGCCACACUGGGACUGAGACACGGCCCAGACUCCUACGGGAGGCAGCAGUGGGGAAUUUUGGACAAUGGGCGCAAGCCUGAUCCAGCCAUGCCGCGUGCAGGAUGAAGGCCUUCGGGUUGUAAACUGCUUUUGUACGGAACGAAAAGCCUUCUUUUAAUACAGGAGGGUCAUGACGGUACCGUAAGAAUAAGCACCGGCUAACUACGUG